rnacentral:lncRNA from 1 species
GGGAAAAGGUUUCGUCCAAUCAAAUGAUACAAGGAUGAAAAUAUAAAUUUGUUCUUGGCGGGAAAUUUCCCGCCUGGCUUUCGUGACGACUUUGUUUAUUUUGUUCGAAGGUGAACACUUUAUUUUGUCGCUUAUAAAUAUCGAGACUGUCAGAACAUUAGCAGAGAAAUAAUGAAAAGGAGGAUGUAACAGGUGAGUGGUUAUAAUUCUGUAUAUGAGAGUUAAUUUUGAACGCUCUCAGUGUAGAUUAUUUAUAGUGGCAAUAAUAGCAAAACUUGGUUGAUAGGAAUGGAAGUGCGUGGAAAAUACAAGGGAAAUUCGACGUUUCGAACGAAGUUCCUUCGUCUGGGAGUUAGUAGACAAACUUCUCGACGAAGAACUAACUUCCCAACGAAAGAACUUCGCUCGAAACGUCGAAUUUCUCCCUGUAUUUUUCAAAAAAAUUUUUUUUUUAAUCCCCCAAUUUCGGCGACCUCCCCCCCCCCAAAAUUUCGGUCAGUGUACCAUUUUAGGGGUCAGAAAUUUUUUCCGGAAUUACCACAAGUGAAUUUUUGUCUGAAUCUCAAACUUUUCAUACAAAAAACAACGUUCUAAAUGUGAUUUAUCACGUAUUUUUUUAUAACUAAAAGGGCACUUCUGCCCCCCCUGUCCCCCCUAGCAAAAGGCAAGGGGGGCAGCCGCCCCCGCUGCCCCCCCAGUUCCGGCGUCCCUGGGCAAAACAAAUUGCUGGGAGGAAGAUGUAUCAGUUUCCUUUAGUCAAAAGAUACCAUACCGUGAGGGUGGAUUAACUGAAUUUUUUGUUUAUGUUUUUGCUUUUAUUCUCCAGUAUCUGUUGCGAAAUCUGGUACAUCAAUAAUUUUUGUUUUUGUAAAGUGGAAACACCACAUGAAUUAUUUCUGGGCGCCAUAUUUUCAUACACGUGUUGUUUGCAAACUGUGUCUGUGAAUAUUCUCAUUUUUAUGAUCAGAAAUUGUGUAAGAACCGAAGUAUUAUAAAGAUUCAGUAAAGACAGACUCGAGGGAACAGUUGGGUGAUAUUUUUAAUCGGUAUUUGACCGCACGGGGAAACGAUCAAAAGCUGAAACCAUGUCUAGGAAAUGCGACAACAACAAGAAGAUAUUUUCGCAGAGAAGCUCUUUGCGAAGACAUAAAAGAACACACACUGAAGACAAACCUUAUAAAUGUGAUGUUUGCACCAAAAGAUUUUUACGACCAAGCCAAUUGGUGGUUCAUAAGAGAACACACACUGGAGAGAAACCUUAUGAAUGCGAUGUUUGCAACAAAAGAUUUUCGCAGUCAGGUGACUUAGCUACCCAUAAA